AUCUCAGCUGACUGCACUGCACAGAUGCCAUGCCUCCUCAGCUCGCAUGAGGUGUCAUCACCUACAGACUGCCUUUAUGUGACUGGGGUGAUUGGGAGGAGUCAGUAAGGUAUUUAAGGCGCGCCCCGGGGUUGUUCAGAGGAUUCCUGUUCCUGCAUUGCAAUGCUAAGUGUUCCUGAAUAAACCUGCUUGAAGAAGGACAACAUGGUGUUGCAUCUUUCCUGCUGGUCCGGGUGGAUGCAACAAGUGGUGGCCCAUAAGGGGACUUCUGCUUCACGAGAGCGCUGUGUGUCUAGAAAUUCAAGAGGUCAGGGUAGCCGGCUGGAAAGCUCCCAGGGAGAUUCAGUAAUCCUGAUGCAUCUCAGAAGGGAACUAUUAAGUCGAAGGAUGUGUUGGAUGGCCAAUGGCAUGGACCAGAUCCAGUGUUGGUGUCAGCAAGAAGGUCUGUUUGCGUGUUUCCCCAGGACUGCCACCAGCCGUUGUGGGUACCUGAACGACUGACUCGAGUGCUGAUGGGUGACCAGAGAUGUGAUGCUGAUAUUCCUGGGAAUACUGAUGAUGGUGACAGGGUGCAGGAGUGGGGAGCUAAAAUGGGGCAUCAUGUCGGUGUUUCCGAAGCUCCUACCCUUCACCCAUUCCGCUCAAGUGUUUCCUCGUUUCUUUACCUCCAAUACAUCUUUACAGCUACCCUUUUUACCUGAUGAUGAAGGAGUAGCACCAGUGACUGAACCUCUCCAGCUUGCCCUGAGAGGGGUAUUAUGCUUUCAGCUUAUUGUAAAUAUUUCUCAAGAUAGUAUGUGUGUGCAAUUGUAUAAUCAGAUUGCUGCGUGGUUUGAUAGACCUUUUUAAUAGUUUAACCCGAGCUAAUGCUACUUGGAUCAGAGGAACUUAGCCUGCUAGCAUACCCAAGGGCAAUGCUAACUAACUACCCCAACCAUGCUGGGCCUCAUUUUGCAGAGGCGUAUGAGACUCUUUGCCUCCGUGGAAUGGAUGUCAACCCUGGAAGGUCGCUUGGGUGGUCAAAAAGUAUUUUACCUUUUCUCCAUACAUCAGUACCAUGCAUAGUCAAGCGUUUGCAGGUAAUAAUUGGACAUAUCAAAGCCCAGCACAGCGAGUGGCUAAUGAUCCUUUUAAUGUAUGGUUGUUAUGUGGGGUAAAUGGAAGCUGUACUGAUUUGUCACCUCUGAGUAUACUGAUGGGAGGGGCCUGGGGAAAUGCUAGUUUUUAUUGGAACGGGUCUGAUUUGUUUGGAAAUUCUGUGAGUGUUUUGGCUUCGAGAAAAAAUAUGUCUUUUGUGCCUACACCUGUGUGUUUUUGGCCCCCUUUUGUGUUUUUAUUAUAUAAUGGUAGUUAUGAUAAGGAGUUUAUUAAUCAUAGUAGUGAUAAUUGCUUUUAUAGUAUGUGUUGGAAUACAUCUGUAUUUCCCUUGGCUGUGGUAACCCAUAUGCCUAGAGUUGUACCCUGGCCAGUGCAAGCUCCAUCUGUGAUGACACUGUUUAGACAUAAAAGAGAUUUUGGGAUCACCGCUGCCAUAGUCACAACAAUGUCGCACCUCAAGGAAUGGACUGGCAUGGGAGGGCUGGCAAUCAUCUGCAUUGCCAAGGGAGUGGUGGCCCUGUGGUGCAUUUGCCAUGCGCAGAGGGGACAUGCCAAUGCGCGGGCACUGUUGAUUCGGGCUUUUGCAGCCCUACAGCUGGGACAAGCAGCUCCUCAGGUGUGGCUUGGCAUGCUGGAGGGGUGGUUGAUGAGGGGUGGGACUCCCUGAAGGUGUUGCCAACCUAGGACAGAGACUGGAUCACUGCUGUUUGUCCUCUCGAUGGUGGGUGGGGGGCAUUGUUGCAGGGGGCAGCCUGGGACAGGCAUUCUCUCUGCCAUAAUAAUAAAUAAGGCAGAGAUGUGAAGAGUGGGUGUGACUGCCGCCCCAAGAUGGCGCCUGGGAUGGCUGUCAGGUCUUAUAACCUUCACCUGACUUCCUCAUUAUCUCAGACUUAGCCACAUCCCAACCGCCUGCAGUGCACAGAUGCCAUACCUUGUCAGCUCGCCUGAGGUGUCGUCACUUGCUGUGAACCUAUGGACUGCCGUUAUGUAACUGGGGUGAUUGGGGGGAGUCAGUAGGGUAUUUAAGGCGCCCCCCAGGGUUGUUCGGAGGAUUCCUGUUCCUGCAUUGCAAUGCUAAGUGUUCCUGAAUAAACCUGCUUGAAGAAGGACAAAGUGGUGUUGCAUCUUUCCUGCUGGUCCGGGUGGAUGCGACACCCAUCCCCUUGAG
rnacentral:lncRNA from 1 species